GAUAAGAAUGGGGCACUGUGUUCACAGCCUCUUUCUCGUUUUCAGUUCUGAUUCUGUCACCUGGUUCUGUCACUUCCUGUACAUUCCCUCGGGGAGGCCUUUCCUAAUGGCCUGUUGGAAACAACACCCUCUCAUGUUCUAUUCAUAUCCCCUAUUUACUUUUCUUUAUAGCACUUAUCACUACCUAAUGUAUUAUGUAUCUGGGUUUACAGGAAAAGACAGCAAACAAACAAAUAUUUAAUACAUCAGGCAGUCGAGAGUACAAUAGAGAAAAUGCAAGCAGAGGAGGAAGAUGAAGACUGAGUCACUUGGGCAGUGUUUCAACCACACCAACCGUGAAUUCUUAAUGACUCGGCCUGAUGAGAAGAAUGGCAUGGAUAAUCUGAAAAUAAUGGACAAUGGGAAAGGACUUGAGCCUGCUCAUGGAGUGUGCCAGAUUCCAGAAGCCAUUCUUGAUAGCAGCAAAACCGUCUACACACAUUCUAUGGGGCUUGAUGGGCUGCUCUGGAGAGGAGAGGAGUCUCCCAGGAAAGUAUGAGUGUGAUUGAAGAAGGAGACUGGAGAAGAGAUAUAGACCCUUAAAGAGAGAUCCCUGACAAACUAAAUAAAACGUUUUGUUUUGGUCUCGUUUUGUUGCAAAGUGAGAGCCCAGUUUGGAGCAAUUAAAUUGACAACCAACCCAACCCAAUUCUCCCCUAACCAUGAGGACUGAGUUCUGGUUUCUCCCAGGUGUACAAUUUGCUCAGUUUUGUCUUUUACAUACACACAGCAGCAACAUAUUCCCUCCGGUCCAUUUAGUUCCUAAUUGAUAUCCUAAGAUGAUUUAUUUAAUCUAGCAGGAAGAGAAAAGGAAAGGACAGUUUCCACUGGAGUGUGCUUGACUUCUUUAACCCGUUCCUUCCUGAUUAUAAAAGCUACACAUGUUUAAUGUAGAAAGUUUGUUAUUGUUGUCAGUUGCUCAGUCUUGUCCAACUCUUUGUGAUCCCAUGAACCACAGCAGGCCCAGCUUCCCUGUCCUUCACCAUUUCCUAGAGUUUGCUUAAACUCAUAUUCAUUGAGUUGGUGAUGCCAUCCAACCAUCUCAUCCUCUGUUGCCCGCUUCUCCUCAUGCCCUCAAUCUUUCCCAGAGUCAAGGUCUUUUCCAGUGAGUUGGCUCUUCACAUCAGGUGGCCAAAGUAUUGGAGCUUCAGCUUCAGCAUCAGUCCUUCCGAUGAAAGUUUAGGAAAUGAAUAUUUCAGAUUAAAAUA
ensembl:lncRNA